rnacentral:misc_RNA from 1 species
AAGAUGUGGAGCCACUGGAUUUGACUACACAUUUGACAAUUUUUCAGAGACACAUGUCCACGAAGAAUGAAAUUGGUACAGGGUUUACAUCUUUUACAAAUCCAAAUGUACAUAGAUGAUUAUAUAAUUUUAAAUACAAAGACACAAUGCCCUAAACAAGCAAGCAUAAAAAGUAUCACUCUUUGGAUACAAAAUUGGCUAAAGUAUCACUCUUUGAUACAAAAUUGGCUAUCAUAACAAUUCCAAGCAAUCUUCAAUCAUAAACAUGGCUGCAGAAAAGGCUACCUUGGCUCAAACUUAACAACUAGUUCCCUAUAGAUGCAUACUCUACUCUACACAUAAUGACAUGCUAACAACAAAUCAGGAACAAAUACAUUAAGUACAUGUCAACAUAGGCAUACAUAAAGAGUGACCAGCUUGAGAAGAACAAUAAAAAUCACUUCCUGGCAAAUUACACAUGUCGAUAAGCAGGUUUGUAUUCGCAUACAAUUAUUAAAGAAGAAGAAAUGCGUAGUAACAAAUGAG